rnacentral:rRNA from 1 species
UACGUAGGGGGCAAGCGUUGUCCGGAUUUAUUGGGCGUAAAGAGCGUGUAGGCGGUCAGGUAGGUCCGUUGUGAAAACUCGAGGCUCAACCUCGAGACGCCGAUGGAAACCAUGUGGCUAGAGUCCGGAAGAGGAGAGUGGAAUUCCUGGUGUAGCGGUGAAAUGCGCAGAUAUCAGGAAGAACACCCGUGGCGAAGGCGGCUCUCUGGGACGGUACUGACGCUGAGACGCGAAAGCGUGGGGAGCGAACAGG